rnacentral:rRNA from 1 species
GGAUAGGUGGCGAUCAAAGCCGGGGAUCCGCAAGGACCUGGCGCUUGAAGAGGGGCCCGCGUCCGAUUAGCUAGUUGGUGGGGUAAUGGCUCACCAAGGCAACGAUCGGUAGCCGGCCUGAGAGGGCGGACGGCCACACUGGGACUGAGACACGGCCCAGACUCCUACGGGAGGCAGCAGUGGGGAAUUGUUCGCAAUGGGCGCAAGCCUGACGACGCAACGCCGCGUGGAGGAUGAAGACUUUCGGGUCGUAAACUCCUGUCGAGCGGGACGAACACUCCUGAGGUGAAUAGCCUUGGGAGCUGACAGUACCGCGAGAGGAAGCCCCGGCUAACUCCGUGCCAGCAGCCGCGGUAAUACGGGGGGGGCAAGCGUUGUUCGGAAUUACUGGGCGUAAAGGGCUCGUAGGCGGCCAACUAAGUCAGACGUGAAAUCCCUCGGCUUAACCGGGGAACUGCGUCUGAUACUGGAUGGCUUGAAUCCGGGAGAGGGAUGCGGAAUUCCAGGUGUAGCGGUGAAAUGCGUAGAUAUCUGGAGGAACACCGGUGGCGAAGGCGGCAUCCUGGACCGGCAUUGACGCUGAGGAGCGAAAGCCAGGGGAGCAAACGGGAUUAGAUACCCCGGUAGUCCUGGCCCUAAACGAUGAAUGCUUGGUGUAGCGGGUAUCGAUCCCUGCUGUGCCGAAGCUAACGCAUUAAGCA